rnacentral:lncRNA from 1 species
UUGCACUAUUAGUAUUAAGUUUGGAUGAUAUAUAAAAAUCAUUAUAUAUUAAAUCUCAGGUCUGUAUUACUUUGCUUGACUAGAUUUUUUUUUUUUUUUUUUAAUUUAGCCCAUGAGAACUCUGCAUUGCCCUGCUCGUGGUGCAUUUGGGGCCUUCCCUCCUCUUACUAUGGUUCUGGCAUCCUUCCCUUCAAAAAGAAAAGGAUAUCUCUCUUGAAAGGAAGAAAAUAAGAUGCUAGAAAACAUGGAAUGGAAAUUGUUACUACAAAGCAGGAAGACUGCCCAUGUUGCAACUAUUAGAGAACCAUUUUGAUGCUCCAUGGCUUCAAGUGAGUACUGACUCUAUAAAGGGACAUAAAUCCUGAAAAUACACAGAACUUG